UUGUAUGUGGGUCAGACCACACGUCAUUUACACAUCGGAUUUUCGGAGCAUAUGAGAAUAUCUCCAUUUGAAGGUAAUUUUACAAAUAAAUGGAAACAAAUUUCUUAAAACAAAUAACAAGAGUUUUGAAAACAAGAAGUAAACAGAAGUGAAUGCCAACUUUUCCAAAACAUUAAGGACAAAAAAUAAAGAAAGCUUCGUUUCACUUUAAAUAAUCCUUUAUAAUAAACCUUUUAUUAACUUCGUUUAUUCGCUCUUUGAGCCUGCGAGGUCUGCACAUAAAGAAUUAAAUGAUCCGACAUUUCUCUUUAAAGACUUCCCAAUUAGUAAAGGCCUUAUAAUACAACUAAUUUUAAUGUGGUAUUUCGAAAUGUAUGUGUUUCUACAAGUUUUCUGUCCACCUCUUCACAUCAAAACGUAGACUUAUGGACAGCACUUAAGAGCUAAUUAACAAAGAUAUAUUACGAAAAAAAUUAUAAAAAUUGCCUAAAUUAAAAUCAUCCUAUCUAGUUUUAAUUUAGUUUGAUAUAAUAUUUUACAAAGUGGCCGUCCAAUGCAUAAACUAAAAGUUUGUCAUAUACCAAAUUAAAAUUGAUAUC